AACGAACGCUGGCGGCAUGCCUAACACAUGCAAGUCGAACGAGACCUUCGGGUCUAGGGGCGCACGGGUGCGUAACGCGGGGGAACCUGCCCUUAGGUUCGGAAUAACUCCCCGAAAGGGGUGCUAAUACCGGAUAAUGUCUUCGGACCAACGAUUUAUGGCUUUUGGAUGGGCCCGCGUUGGAUUAGCUAGUUGGUAGGGUAAAAGCCUACCAAGGCGACGAUCCAUAGCUGGUCGGAGAGGAUGAUCAGCCGCACUGGGACUGAGACACGGCCCAGACUCCUACGGGAGGCAGCAGUGUGGAAUAUUGGACAAUGGGCCAAAGCCCGACCCCGCAAUGCCGCGUGAGUGAUGCAGGCCUUAGGGUUGUAAAGCUCUUUUACCCGGGAUGAUAAUGACAGUACCGGGAGAAUAAGCACCGGCUAACUCCGUG
rnacentral:rRNA from 1 species